UACGUAGGGUGCAAGCGUUGUCCGGAAUUAUUGGGCGUAAAGAGCUCGUAGGCGGUUUGUCGCGUCUGCUGUGAAAAUCCAGGGCUUAACCCUGGACCUGCAGUGGGUACGGGCAGACUGGAGUGCGGUAGGGGAGAUCGGAAUUCCCGGUGUAGCGGUGAAAUGCGCAGAUAUCAGGAGGAACACCGGUGGCGAAGGCGGAUCUCUGGGCCGUAACUGACGCUGAGGAGCGAAAGCAUGGGGAGCGAACAGG
rnacentral:rRNA from 1 species